rnacentral:Y_RNA from 1 species
GGCUGGUCCGAUGGUAGUGGGUUAUCCGAAUUUAUUAACAUUAGUGUCAGUAAAGUUGGUAUACAACCCCCCACUGCUAAAUUUGACUGGCUUUUU